AACGAGCGCUGGCGGCAUGCCUAACACAUGCAAGUCGAACGAGACCUUCGGGUCUAGUGGCGCACGGGUGCGUAACGCGUGGGAACCUGCCCUUAGGUUCGGAAUAACUCCCCGAAAGGGGUGCUAAUACCGGAUAAUGUCUUCGGACCAAAGAUUUAUCGCCUUUGGAUGGGCCCGCGUUGGAUUAGCUAGUUGGUAGGGUAAAAGCCUACCAAGGCGACGAUCCAUAGCUGGUCUGAGAGGAUGAUCAGCCACACUGGGACUGAGACACGGCCCAGACUCCUACGGGAGGCAGCAGUGGGGAAUAUUGGACAAUGGGCGAAAGCCUGAUCCAGCAAUGCCGCGUGAGUGAUGGAGGCCUUAGGGUUGUAAAGCUCUUUUACCCGGGAUGAUAAUGACAGUACCGGGAGAAUAAGCUCCGGCUAACUCCGUG
rnacentral:rRNA from 1 species